rnacentral:lncRNA from 1 species
AAGAAAUACCUAGAAUUUGAUCACCAACAAUUCCAAGUAUAUUUUUAUUCAUUAAAAAUUAAACUGCAGUGGGCAUCUGACUUAGUUUUCUUGGAUGUCCUCUGAGAAAUAUGAAAGCAGAUUGCCCUGUUUUGUCAAAAAUCAGCAUAUUUUUAUUUCAUGUCCCAAGAAAGGGAAAAUAUUUUGUCAACCAACUAAUUAUUUUACAAUUAAAAAAAUGACAGACAUCUACUACUCAGGGACUGUAUAUAGGAGAAAAACUUACACACAUUGAAUUGAAAGUGAAAAUCAUUGGGUAAUAUUUGUUAAUUAGUUGUGUUGAUGAUGAUGUUAGCCUAGCUUUUAUUUGGUUAUAAGCUUUUGUAUGCACACACAUUCACAAACACAUACACGCAUAUAUACAUACGUGUGUGUGCGUGUGUUUUCUUUCAGUAUGGUCCCUAUUCUGAUGUCUCAGAAAUUACCACUGCUGCAGGGCCUCCUGGACAAUGCAAAGCACCUUGUAUUUCUUGUACACCUGAUGGAUGUGUCUUAGUGGGUUGGGAGAGUCCUGAUAGUUCUGGUGCUGACAUCUCAGAGUACAGGUUGGAAUGGGGAGAAGAUGAAGAAUCCUUAGAACUCAUUUAUCAUGGGACAGACACCCGUUUUGAAAUAAGAGACCUGUUGCCUGCUGCACAGUAUUGCUGUAGACUACAGGCCUUCAAUCAAGCAGGGGCAGGGCCGUACAGUGAACUUGUCCUUUGCCAGACGCCAGCGUCUGCCCCUGACCCCG